rnacentral:rRNA from 1 species
GAUGAACGCUCGCUACAGGCUUAACACAUGCAAGUCGAGGGGAAACGGCAUCGAAAGCUUGCUUUUGAUGGGCGUCGACCGGCGCACGGGUGAGUAACGCGUAUCCAACCUGCCCAUCACUUGGGAAUAACCUUGCGAAAGUAAGACUAAUGCCCAAUGACAUCCCACGAAGGCAUCCGAAUGGGAUUAAAGAUUUAUCGGUGAUGGAUGGGGAUGCGUCUGAUUAGCUUGUUGGCGGGGUGACGGCCCACCAAGGCAACGAUCAGUAGGGGUUCUGAGAGGAAGGUCCCCCACAUUGGAACUGAGACACGGUCCAAACGCCUACGGGAGGCAGCAGUGAGGAAUAUUGGUCAAUGGGCGAGAGCCUGAACCAGCCAAGUAGCGUGCAGGAGGACGGCCCUAUGGGUUGUAAACUGCUUUUAUAAGGGAAUAAAGUGGGUCACGUGUGACUUUUUGCAUGUACCUUAUGAAUAAGGACCGGCUAAUUCCGUG